rnacentral:rRNA from 1 species
CGCGUAGGCGGUAAGAUGUGUGUGGUGUGAAAGCCCCGGGCUUAAUCUGGGAAGUGCAUCGCAAACUAUCUAACUGGAGUAGAUGAGAGGGUGGCGGAAUUUCCGGUGUAGCGGUGAAAUGCGUAGAGAUCGGAAGGAACGUCAAUGGCGAAGGCAGCCACCUGGCAUCAUACUGACGCUGAGGCGCGAAAGCGUGGGAGCGAACA